AACCGCUUGAACAAGCUAUGGAGCUUGAGUAGCUCAUUGGAAUUGGUGUUGGUUUUGGAGUAGAGUAUUGUUGACAUUGGUGAAGAACAAAGGUCGACUGAAGCAUUGAGGUAAGGAUGCUGCAGGAGCCUCUGGUGGCAAGUGGCCAUAUCUGGAUUAUGCAUGAAAUAUGGCAUUUCUUUGAGUUUAUGCAUGCCUUUUGUAGUUGACAUGUAUAGGAUUUUAUUUUGAAAGCCCAUGGUCAUUUGUAUAUCUUGAUUCAUUGGAUGAACUUAGCCUAUGCUCAUGCCUUUGGUUACACCUUUUGUUGAU